UAAAGAUACUUUUGCAUGAAUUCUGGGUC
rnacentral:piRNA from 1 species